rnacentral:lncRNA from 10 species
UAUUGCUAUGUUGCCCAGGCUGGUCUCGAACUCCUGAGCUCACAUCAUCUGCCAGCCUUGGCCUCCCAAAGAGUUGAGAUUACAGGUGUGAGCCACCGGUGUCCGCCCUGAAGGACUUUUUCCACCAGCUCUAAAUGCAUGUGCUUUUGUGGUUGCAGUUUGGUACUAAGAAUGCCCUUAGAAACCAUGUGCUGAAGAUGGCAGUGCUUUUGUCAGCCUGGGUUCCUGAAUAACUGCAUGGAACAGAGCCUUUACCAUAUACCCCAACCCCAAACAAAGAACACCUUCAUUGGACUAUUACACAACCUGGUUAAGAACCAUUGCUGGGGAACUACUGCAGUUGUUUGGAGAAUAAACAUGGCCAUUCUUGAUAGACAUGUUGACUGAUGGACUGAGAGAUAUAGAUACAUGCCAUGAGAUCUCUUUAUGAGCAGUGGUCUUAUGGAUAUCUGCAUGACCUCUGCUGAAGUAAAAUACUGUGGUUCGUGAGAAGACGUGACCUUUGGAUACAGCUGGUCUAGUCCUGGCUCUGCUGUGUCAGUGAAAGUGGAACAGUUACAUGGCUCUCCCGAAUCUCUGUUUUCACUUGGUUAAAUGAGGGUUACAUGUACUUACUUCCAGUGUUGUUAUGAGAAUUAAAUGAGAUUAAAUGUUAAAAUUUGUGAGCGGUCAAUAUAUGUACUUCUUUUCUCCCCCUCAGUCUCUUAAGAAUAUUCUACACCAGUAUUGCAGAAUAAAGAAAAAUGGAUAUGUUAAUUUGUUUGAUAUAAUCAUUCCACAAUGUAUACAUAUAUCAGGUGGGGAGCAGUGGCUCAUGCCUGUAAUCCCAGCACUUUGGGAGGCCGAGGCAGGCAGAUCACUUGAGGCCAGAAGUUCGAGACCAGCCUGUCAACAUGGCAAAAACCUGUCUCUACUAAAAAAUUUAAAAAUU